AAGGUCUCUCUGCUCCAGAUGCCUUCUUGGAUGUUCUCGUGGCCAGACUGUGGCCUUCUGGGUAGGCUAUGUAAGAAUAAGGAACAGUUGUGGCCAGAAGAGUGUGGCUAACAUCACUUUCUCAUGUCCAAUCGAGGCCUUUCAGAUACUGAAUUACACUUAGAAUGGUCAGAUUUUCUAAACAACAACAAAAAAAGGACCCUUGUCAGUAAACUAAAUUCAAGGGGACAAUGGAACAGAAUAUUUGAAAUGAGAUCGUUGGACCAUCUGAUAAUUCGAUUCUGCUGGACAAAGAGGCCUCAUGUGGUUCUUUUGGCUGAUGGCGAUUACAAAAGAGGCUCCAGAGUCCCAGAACUGAAUCAGCGCCAUGGGCUGGGUUGACAGGACGGGUGAGUGGAAGUGAAAGUUAAAAAAAAAAAAAGGACACUGAGCUAAAAGAGAACAGUUUGUUGAAGAUAUCACAACCAGGCACUAGAGUAGAGUCCUGGAGCUCAGUGAAAAACAGAGCUGUGAAGAAGUACAGCUUCUGUGAAGAAGGACAGCCUGAGGGUUCUUAUCCAUCGACUCAUGGAUCACAAGAAACUUGUUCAGCAAUGACAGCUGUUGCUUUUCACUGCAAUGGUGUGGACAGAGGGCCCAGGGGAUUUUGCCUUGGCUCACAGGAGACACACGACUUGGAGAAGAGUGAAAGAAGGAAUGAAAUAGAAGAACUGGAGUUUGGGAGGUAAAGGAUUUCCUUUAAGUCUGAAGCUUCUUGUGGUGACUGAUCUAAACAAGGAUAAAAGGCAUGACGUUGUUGUUAUGUGCCACUGAAUCAACUCCAAAUCGUAGCAACUCUAUAGGACAGAGGAGCAGCUGGAAUUGACUUGAUAGCGAUGCGUUUAAUCUUUAUAGGAGCAGAUCACCAGGUCUUUUCUCCCACGGAGUGGCAGACUUGAGGAGUCUGAUGGAGCAAUGGUUGGAAACUCAGCUGCUAACUGAAAGGUUGAUUGUUUGAAACCAACAGCGGCUCCACAGGAGAAGAGACUUGACAAUCUGCUUCCAUAAAGAUUACAGCCCAGGAAACUCUAUGGGGCAGUUCUACUUUGUCCUAUAGGGUCACUAUGUGUCAGAAUCGACUCAAUAGCACACAACAAAAACAAUUUUAGACUUAAUGUUAUAGCAACAAAUAAAAAGGUGAGGGAACAGCUGGGAUAAUGGAACUUAGAUGGGAGACCUUAAGAAGAAUUUGGCAGCCAUAUCUGGGGACCCUUUUGGGAGACUUAGGGAUGUUUCAUGGCUUCUGCGAAACUGAAAAAGAUAUGCUUGAUUUCAUGUCCCCUUAAUUUUUUCCAAGACACCAUUGUAGAAUCCACCUUGGGCAAGUUAUAAAAUCUCCUUCAGAUUCAGUUUCCUUGUCUGUCAAGUAGUGAUGAUAACGCCUAUCUCCUUGGGGCCUCAUGAAGGAGUCCUGGUGGUGCAAUGGUUAAGCGCUCAGCUGCUAACCAAAGGUUCACAGUUCGAACCCACCCAGAGGCUCUGCCAAUGAAAGACCUGGCAAUCUGCUCUCAUAAAGAUUACAGCCUAGAAAACCUUGUGGGGCAGUCCCACUCUGUCACAUGAGGUCGCUAAGAGUCAGAAUUAACUCCAUGGCACCCAGCAAUAACAACUCUGUUGUCAUGAGGAUUAAGUGAGAUAAAUACAAGCACAGCACCUACCAUACAAUGUGUGCUCAACAGACACUGAGCUGCCCUUCUUUCAGUCAUUCUUUCUUACAAAUCCAUGAGUCAAGUGUUAUCCCUAUUUUAAGAUGCAGAAAGAGGUUUUUAGUGAAGUUCAGUAACUGAAGGUCACUCCUCCAAGAGGCUGGGCUGGGAUUUUUGACUCUGCCUAGGCUGAUACCACAGGUCAGCCUGAGCGCUUUCCACUAAACCUCACUGCCUCUCCUACUAGUUUUUCAGCUACAGUUAAUAUUGGAACUCACUUCUCAAAAAUUGGUUGAGGAACACAUCUGCAGGGGUGCCACCUCUAUAAAUUCUGAAAGUAGUAAAAUAGGUAUAACCUGGCACAGGACUACGUGUGAAUCACUAUCAGGCAAGAACCAUCUGCAUUAACCAAUGAUGAUGGUGACGAUGGCGACUGUGAUGGUAGCAGUGGUAGUUGUAGCUAUGGUGGUGGUAAUCAAGAAUAAACAGAAAAUGAAGAGAACAUUAAGGCGCUUAAAGAUCCCGAAAGAGCCUGGGCAUCUCUUUGGUACUAAGCGGAUUGCUCUACGUUGUAAGGGCAAAACUCAGCUCAGCUUUCUUGGUUUCUUCUUUUUGUAUUGAGAAAACCCAGUGUUAAUGAAAACCAGUGAAGCAGCUGCAGGACGUAGUAGAAAAUGCACUGAACAAUCGAAAGACAUAGGUCUGGCCCUCCCUAGGCCACUGGGUAGCCAAAUGGUCUUGGGUAGGUUCAUAACCUCUUUGGUGGUAUAAUCCAAUGAUUAAGAACAUGGAUUUCAGGAGCAAAAAGCCUUGCGUCUGAUUUCAAUUCUGCUACUUACUACUGCGUGACUUUGGGGAAGUUAACCUCCGUAACAAGUUACUCUCAAAACGGGGAUAAUAAUAUCUAGUGCACAGACAUAUUAGAAAGAUUAAAUAAACUAUUGGGAGAGGCACUGGUUCAGAGGUAGAAUUCUUGCCUCCCAGGAGGGAGAGCUGGGUUCAGUUCCCAGCCAAUGCACAGCCACCACCCAUCUGUCAGUGGAGGCUUGCAUGUUGCCAUAAUACUAAACAAGUUUCAGUGGAACUUCCAGAAUAAGAAGGACUAGGAAGAAAUCCUGGUGAUCUACUUCUGAAAAUCAGCCGAUGAAAACCCUAGGAAUCACAAUCGUCUAAUCCACAACUGAUCAUGGGAAUGGCUCAGGACCAGGCAAUAUGCUUUCUGUUGUUCAUGGGGUCACCAUGAGCUGGGGGCCAACUCAAUGCCAGCUUUACAACAGCCACAACAACAAAUAAACUAUUGCAUGUAGUUGCCACAAAGUUGGUGUUCAGUUAGUGUCUGUUAUAAUUGUUACCACCACCAGUCUUUGAGCUUCAUGUUCCCUAUUUCUGAAAUAAGGAUAAUAAUACUUGUCUUGGCACCUCAGCUCUUCCUUCCAAACAGGUUAUCAUGUGUAAAAUAGCACUUUGUAAGAUGCAAAAGACCAUAUAAGGAUAUGUGGUUAUUAUGAUGAUAACUCAAGAGAGAAUUGGAUAUACUAUUUCUGCCACUUGAGGUUACAAGGAUGAUUAAUCUUCUGGAAAUUUUUGAAAAUGAUAACCAAAUCCUAAAGGUCUUAAAUAUCUAGCUGAGGGAAACAAAAUGUUCUUCAAGUUCUCAGAACUCCAAGUUCUUUUUUUCCAUAUAAUAAUUGGAACCCCUUAGGAUUCAUUUAACUCAUAGCAAAAAGGCAAAACAACAAUGACAAGGUUGAAAUAAAGGGAAGGCUGGUUUCACAGAUUGCCCACAAAACUGGAAAAUGGUUACUAACAGCACAAAGCAAUAAAGAGGCUUACAAAUUGAGUCCUGGGAGGAAGGACACAAGCUAUAUUUGUUGCAUGUGGCUAUCGGAGGCCAGAACUUAGUCCCUUCUAUUCUGUGAAGUGCCAUGUCCAUAAAUUUGUAGACUGUCAUUCCCUUUAAAUCAAAACACUGGUGAACAGUUGUAGCAGAGCCACCUCCAGAACAUGACCAGCCAUAACACUCAGAACAUUGAUCAUCUCUCACUGCUCAAACAAAUUAAGUCCUUGAACCACUGACCUGCUUAACUUGGAGUUUUUCUUGUUCACUAAUAUGUGUCCUAACUUUACAGAUCUCAAGAAAACCUUAGGGAGGGUGUCUUAGAAGUUAUCUAGAUCCUUACUCUAUCCCAAUGAUGAAACAGUCUUCUUCACAACAUUCUGUACAGAGGCCAAGCAUUUCUAGGGACAAGAGUGCCCCACUGCCUUGGUUGUCCCUUGGAGUUACUGUUAGUGAGUCCCAGGGGUAACACAAUACCCCUGACCUAGGGCUUUCAUGAGGGGCCUCCUGCUUGAGUAACAUUCUGACCUUCUAUUUACAGCGCUGUCCAAGGGAUGCACCUUUUGAUAAGAUUCCAGGAAGGACUUUUGUGCAGACAUGAACUAGACUCCCUUCUCUCUUUCAGAGUAGCCUGAAUUCAGGAUGCAUGGAUUCUCUCCUCUUCCACGAAGGAAGAGGCCUGACCCUGCAAGGAAAAGCCUGCAGGUACUCAGCUGCCGUGCCUGACUCCAAGGGUGUAUUUACUUGGGGAAGGAAAUAGAAUAAGAGGCCUGAUUGUAGCUCCAAAUGAAGCCACAUUCUCCACAUCCUGAUACCUGUCUAUUUCCCAGCCAGUUAAGAACCAGGAAUGAAGAGAAAGUGACCUUUGGAUCCUUUAACCACCAGUAGAGUAUACUUUUAUCAUAUGACCCUGUUAAUAUUUGAACAGUAGUCUUCAUACUCCUCUUUUCCAGGCCUCAUAUCUUGAGUUCUCCAUUCCUCCUCUUACAAUGCAGAUCCACACCACUUAUUUUCCUGACUGUAGUGGUUAAUGACCACCUUAAUAAAUGGCCUGGACCUAGUACUCUGGACAUGAACAAUUAGAGUACAGAGAAACUAUUACCACCUCAAAUUGUUCUGUGACACUACAUUUAUUAUAAUGCACCCUUAGAUUCAUUUAUUAGUUGUUUUCUUUAUAAGCAUGACACUGUUGGAUCACAUUAAAUUUCCUAUCAACUAGAAUCCCUAAAACUUUUCCCCAUGACUUGCUAUUAAGCUAAGCCCCUCUUCUCUUUUGGGACUUAAUGCAAUAGUUUAACCUAAGUGUAGGACUUUACAUUGACCCCUGAAAAGUCUGGACUCAUCAGCUCUAACAGCAUGACACAGUGGUUAAGAGCAUGGCUUUGGUGUCAGACAACUGGUUCCUGUCUCACCUAUGCCACUUACCGGGGUAGGACUUGAUAUCUCUGUGUCUCUAUACCAAAAACCAAACCUAGUUCCAUCAAGUUGAUUCCGACUCAUAGCGACCCUACAGGACAGAGUAGAACUGCCCCAUAGAGUUUCCAAGGAGUGCUUGGAGGACUUGAACUGCCAACCCUUUGAUUAGCAGCUGUAGCACUUAACCACUACGCCACCAGGGUUUCCCUGUGUCUCUAUAGUUGCCUGUAUUUAAGUGAGAGAAUCCAUGUGACAUAUUUAGCUUUCUAUCAGUGCUUAAUAAAUGUUAUCUGCAGUUAUUACUAGCAAACCCAUCCUGCCAACCUACACGGAUCUUUUUUAAUCUUGUGUCUCUUAUUGGACAAGUUAACCAUAUCUUCCAACCUAAGCCAACCAUAUGUUGCACAAGGACAUCUUUUAUGCUUUCAUAAAAAAAUUUUUUAAAUGAUAAAAUUGGACAGAACGGCAUCAGCAACAGGUUCCUGAAGCAUAUCAUGAUAACCUCCUUCUAGAAUGACAUCAACUCAAACCACUUGGGUACAUUUGUUCAACCAGGUGUGGGUCUACCUACUUAGCCCCAACUUAAUGACAAGAAUAUCAUAAAAAUCUCUGCCAAACUCUGCCCAGAAAUGAAAAUCCACUCUAUCUAUGAUGCUCCUAUAAGCAACCAGAUCAACUGUAAAAAAAUGAAAGGAUGUUAGACAUAUGAAAGCUUUGUUUUAGUGAAUUCAUGAUCAAAAAACCACUAAACCCACUGCAGAGUAGAACUGCCCCAUAGUGUUUCCAAGGAGUGCCUGGUGGAUUGGAACUGCCGACCUUUUCGUUAGUAGCUGCAGCUCUUAACAACUAUGCCACCACGAUUUCUAAAUUCAGGAUAAUGGUUCCAAAUACUCACAUUUUUCCUUUUCAAUCAUUCACCAUUGUUUAGUCACCCAUUGUAAAAUUUUACUGAAGACUGAUGUUUGUAGUUUCUAGAAUAUGCCUUCUCCCCUUCACACCCUAUUUUUUAAAAAUAAGGGUAAUGUCUUCCCUUUUUCAGUUUUCUGGCACCAUACCUUAUUGCUAUAGUUUCUCAGAAGUGAUGCGAUCACUCUGGCAAGUUCUGUCACUACCCUGGUGGUUCCAGUGGAAAGGGCUCAGCAAGGGAAUUAGGGGAUUUCUAGAUCAAUCUAAUUUGUUGACCACUCAAAGGCCUCAUGAGGCGGCAUUUACCUUGGUAGUGAUAAUAAUAACAACCCUAUGAGUUUGGUGCUAUGACAAUCUCCUUUUUAAAGAGAAGGAAAUCGGCCUAACUCACACAGCUUAUAAAUGGCCAAUCUAAGAUUCAAACAAAGGUAAAUCAGAUUCUAGAGUCCAAAUUUCUAACCAAGUUCUACAUUAUCUUCCUUCUGUAGUAAAUAAUACCCUGUUGACCCUAUAGCUAUAUGAAUUACAGCUAGGGUCCAGUCCCUGCCUUGCAGGCCCAGAAACUUGACAUUGACAAUAUCCCAGAGUUGACUAGACUUAGCCAUGGUGCCUCAUCCUAACAAAAUUCACAAUAAAGCAGUAUAGCAAAUCAGAAUGCCAAUUUAUUGAUUUACAAUAGCUGUAUAUCUACCACACAGAACAAAUACAACAGUUGGAUCAAAACAUUUUUCCCUUCAGACUGUUCUACCUACAGAGUCAAAUUAUAGUCACAAUAUAGUAUCACAAUAAGAGGAGUCUGCUAUAGGACUUGGAUGUUAAGUUGAAUUCCCAACAAAGAAGGACUCUUGUUAGUGGAAGUAAAGCUUUGAAGGCUGCCAAUAUUCCCAUUCCUAUGGACAGUUUCUACGGGCGAGGGCACAACCCUCCGGAUGGUCUGAUGUUGACCAGCCCCCUUUCUGACACAGCCGUGCUUUACUUACGUUGAUGCCAGUCUUUGACCUAGAGACAAUCACUCUUUUUUAGAGACUUUUCAAAACUCUGCUCUAAUCCACUCUCUGAUGCUUUUAUGUAUUCAUAUAUUUCCCAACCAAGCUCUUGAGUAACCUCCAGAUCUAGUCUAUCCUCUACAGUAUCACUACAACCUAAGGCCUUUGACUCAUUUAAGGCAGCUAGGAGCUCUCCUACUAUCUUUUUUACUUUUAUUUUUUUACUUCUUAAAGACAUAUUUACCAUAUAGGGUUUGGUGAAGGUAGUACAAAAAUGGGAGUUGAGACGGUCUUUUCUGUCAUCUGUUAACAUGAUUCUAUCUUCUCCAAACACUGGUUUCGGAGGGGGCGGGUAGUGGGAGGGCAAUGUGAUCAGGGAGAAAAGAAAGAAGUGGGGGGUUAUUCAUUUACUGUUUAUAUAGCUCUGUUAUUUUGUUAUAAAAUGUAUAUAUUACUUUCACAGUUAAAAAUUCCAAUUGUCCAAAUUUCAGUGAAGCCAAUAAAGUUUCAAAAAUAAAAGUUACCCAGUCCAAUAAUACAAAUAAAUUGUCCCUACAACAUACUUUGACUGGCUGUCUAAUUUACUCCUCAACACCUGUAGUCAUGGAAAUUCACGGACUCUUGGGGCAGUUCAUUCCAUCUUUGGACAUCUCUGUUAGAACAAUCUUCAUUUUAUUAAGUCAAAAAUUGUCUCUAUGAAGCUUCCACCUAUGGCCUUCACUCUAUCCCUUGGGGCCUGACUGGACACAUCUCAUCCUACUUGUCCUUAAAUACUUACAGGCAUUAUAACAGCUUAGAUAGUAAACAAAACAUGACCUCACUUGUUUGACUUUUCUUCUGGGCUAAAUAUUUUCCAGGAUUGUGGGAAGGAUGCUGAAUGAUAACAGAAAGCCAUAUGCUAUGCAUCUUUUCUAGACUAUGAUUUUAAGAUUGAGACAGAGCUCCUCAAGUCCCCAAGAGUCUGUCUUACAAAGGUUCACCAUUUUCUUAUAACAUUCUCACUUACAGAAGGAAGCAGGUAGCCAGACCCUAAUAAGGAUUCCAAACCACCAUACAUGGAAAGUGCCUUGUGUAAGAGUCAGGACCUUGAAUUUAAAGUGGAAGUAUCUCUAUAAUCAAACAAAAUCACAGGCACUGGGCAAGGUGAGUAGGGGGCACAGGGUCAGAGAACAUUUUGGAUUAGGCCUCUUGUUGAUUUUAGACAUUCCUACCUAAGAAAUGUACCAUGGGCAAUGCUAUCAUUCUGACCACAGUACAUUAGUCAGAGAAAUGGACUUCUCAAAGAGAAGGUAGAGGAAGACAAAGCAAAUUAUGAAGUGUGGGAACACCAAAUUCACUGACACUGAAAGAGAGCUUGGGAACUUGAAAGUGAAAGUGACUGGAAAUGAAGUGAAACAAUUUUGUUGGUAAAGGAUGGAAUGUGAAAAUGAAAUGAACAUUCAAAAUAGAGCACAGUUCUCAUUGCUCUUCAUUUUACUCGGUGACUCACACUGGGAGUUUUUAUCAUACAUACAGAAUUCAAUCAGUAAAGUGACUGCCUACUCUCUUCUGACAACCUUAUCAUGAACUUCUGGGGAAUAACUCCUUCCGUGUCAUCGUGAUAAUGAUCACAAACAUGUUUCCUUGCUU